rnacentral:rRNA from 1 species
GUCGACCGCCUGGGGAGUACGGCCGCAAGGUUAAAACUCAAAUGAAUUGACGGGGGCCCGCACAAGCGGUGGAGCAUGUGGUUUAAUUCGAUGCAACGCGAAGAACCUUACCUACUCUUGACAUCCACGGAACUUGCCAGAGAUGGCUUGGUGCCUUCGGGAACCGUGAGACAGGUGCUGCAUGGCUGUCGUCAGCUCGUGUUGUGAAAUGUUGGGUUAAGUCCCGCAACGAGCGCAACCCUUAUCCUUUGUUGCCAGCGAUUCGGUCGGGAACUCAAAGGAGACUGCCAGUGAUAAACUGGAGGAAGGUGGGGAUGACGUCAAGUCAUCAUGGCCCUUACGAGUAGGGCUACACACGUGCUACAAUGGCAUAUACAAAGAGAAGCGACCUCGC